GGUAGUAAAAAAAGAAAAAAAGCUGUAUAAAAAACAUGACAUUUAUACUUUAAAAGACGAAGAAAUAAUUAGGAUUACAUAUAUCACGCUAGGUUGCUAGGGAAAUUUUCGAAGGAUUCGAAAAUACUCAGAAUAAUACCAACGAAAGCUUAUAAAAAUGUGUUAAUGCUUAUGAUGGAAACCUAUUCAUCAUCAAUCCAAGAGGAAGAGAAUAUGAUCGCUUUUCUUUACAUAUUACUUAUUAUUCCCUUUACAUAUGUAUAUUAUUGCUGUAGGUUCCACAACAACUUAUGCACUCGAACUCGAAUAGCAUUAUA
rnacentral:lncRNA from 1 species